UACGUAGGCAGCAAGCGUUGUUCGGAGUUACUGGGCGUAAAGAGUGCGUAGGCGGUGCUUUAAGUUUGGUGUGAAAUCUCCCGGCUUAACUGGGAGGGUGCGCCGAAAACUGGAGUGCUUGAGUAUGGGAGAGGCAAGCGGAAUUCCUGGUGUAGCGGUGAAAUGCGUAGAUAUCAUUUGGAACGCCAAUGGUGAAAACAGGUAGCUGGGGCUGUACUGACACUGAGACGCGAAAGCGUGGGGAGCGAACAGG
rnacentral:rRNA from 1 species